rnacentral:rRNA from 1 species
AGCGAACGCUGGCGGUAGGCCUAACACAUGCAAGUCGAACGGCAGCACAGUAAGAGCUUGCUCUUACGGGUGGCGAAUGGCGGACGUGAGAGGAGUAUAUCGGAAUCUACUCUUUCGGGGGGGUUCACGUAGGGAAACUUACGCCCAUACAGCAUACGACCUACGGGUGAAAGCAGUGGAACUUCGGACCUUGUGCGAUUGAAUGAGCCGAUGUCGGAUUAGCUAGUGGGCGGGGUAAUGACCCACCAAGGCGCGGAUCCGUAGCUGGUGUGAGUGACGGAUCGGCCACACUGGAACUGAGACACGGACCAGACUACUGCGGGAGGCAGCAGAGGGGAAUGUUAGACAAUGGGCGCAAGCCUGAUCCAGCCAUACCGCGUGUGAGAAGAAGGCCUUCGGGGUGUGAAGCCCUUUUGUGGGGAAAGAAAAGCAGCAGGUUAAUACCCCGCUGUUCUGACGGUACCCAAAGAAUAAGCACCGGCUAACUUCGUG